GACGAACGCUGGCGGCGUGCUUAACACAUGCAAGUCGAACGGAAAGGCCCCUUUGGGGGUACUCGAGUGGCGAACGGGUGAGUAACACGUGAGUAACCUGCCCUUGACUUCGGGAUAACUUCAGGAAACUGGGGCUAAUACCGGAUAGGAAUCCUUGCUGCAUGGUGGGGGUUGGAAAGCUUCGGCGGUUUUGGAUGGACUCGCGGCUUAUCAGCUUGUUGGUGGGGUAGUGGCUUACAAAGGCUUUGACGGGUAGCCGGCCUGAGAGGGCGACCGGCCACAUUGGGACUGAGAUACGGCCCAGACUCCUACGGGAGGCAGCAGUGGGAAAUAUUGCACAAUGGGCGGAAGCCUGAUGCAGCAACGCCGCGUGCGGGAUGACGGCCUUCGGGUUGUAAACCGCUUUCAGCAGGGGCGAAGCUUGUGGUGACGGUACCUGCAGAAGAAGCACCGGCUAACUACGUG
rnacentral:rRNA from 1 species